rnacentral:rRNA from 1 species
AUUGCCUCAGUAACGGCGAGUGAAGCGGCAAGAGCUCAAAUUUGAAAUCUGGCCCCUCCGGGGUCCGAGUUGUAAUUUGCAGAGGAUGCUUCGGGUGCGGCCCCUGUCUAAGUGCCCUGGAACGGGCCGUCAGAGAGGGUGAGAAUCCCGUCUUGGGCAGGGUGCCCGUGCCCGUGUGAAGCUCCUUCGACGAGUCGAGUUGUUUGGGAAUGCAGCUCUAAAUGGGUGGUAAAUUUCAUCUAAAGCUAAAUACCGGCCGGAGACCGAUAGCGCACAAGUAGAGUGAUCGAAAGAUGAAAAGCACUUUGAAAAGAGAGUUAAACAGCACGUGAAAUUGUUGAAAGGGAAGCGCUUGCGACCAGACUCGGCCCCGGGGUUCAGCCAGCACUCGUGCUGGUGUACUUCCCCGGGGGCGGGCCAGCGUCGGUUUGGGCGGCCGGUCAAAGGCCCCAGGAAUGUGUCGCCCUCCGGGGCGUCUUAUAGCCUGGGGUGCAAUGCGGCCAGCCCGGACCGAGGAACGCGCUUCGGCACGGACGCUGGCG